rnacentral:rRNA from 1 species
UACGGAGGGGGCAAGCGUUAUUCGGAAUCAUUGGGCGUAAAGGGCGCGUAGGCGGCUUGGCAAGUCAAAGGUGAAAUCCCUCGGCCUAACCGAGGAACUGCCUUUGAAACUGCUUGGCUUGAGGCCGGGAGAGGGUAGCGGAAUUCCCAGUGUAGCGGCGAAAUGCGUAGAUAUUGGGAGGAACACCAGUGGCGAAGGCGGCUACCUGGACCGGUUCUGACGCUGAGGCGCGAAAGCGUGGGGAGCAAACAGG